GCUCACCCUUCAUAGUGUAGUGGUUAGCACGUUUGCCUUACAUGCAAAAGGUCCCUAGUUGGAAUCUGGGUGGAAGCA